rnacentral:misc_RNA from 1 species
CACUAUGUGAUGUUAGCGGUAUCAUGAUGUUUGGUUUCUAUGGAAAACUUAAAAAUUCUGGUACUCAACAUGGGAUGAUGUCGGUUGGUCACACAUCAGUUUGCUGAUGUUUCCACUUUCCAUGUAAACUGAAACCCAAUACCAUGACCAUGACACCAGGAGCAUUGGGUAGCAUUAAGCAGUGAAACAGGGUCCAGGCCCAGGGCACUAAAGAGUUGUAAGAAAUGAUAUAUAUUCUGCACCAACACUUAACCAAUGAGGAUACUAUAUAAUAGGCUAACUUGCCUCUCUGCAACAUUGGUCAUGCUGAAGGUUUUUUUCAGAAGUGGCUGUUUGGUGGGUGGUAACUGCAUCAAAAAAGCUAUCAAGUAAUAUAAGCUAAAUAUGGCUCAUACCAUGGAAUGGAGGAAAAGAAGAAAACAAUGACAGCUCAGUAAUGAGGGAGAAAACCACAGAUUCUUCUGAUCCUAAAUGCUUUCCAAUAUCCCAGUAUACCAGCAUGACCUGUGGUUAAAUUGCUAGAGCAUACCACUAUUGGUGGUGAAACUUGAAAGUGUGUUUGUCCUGGUGGUGGGAACUACAGUUGACAGUUGGAGUUAGGUCUUCAGAGUCCAGACAGACUAUACUGUAUGGGCAGCUCUAAUUUUGACAUUUUUAUACACCAGGCAACUAUAUUUUCUGUGGUGGAUAGGUGAUUUAUAAGCACCUUAAAAAUAGCUGUCAGUGAAAUAGAAGCUCCUUGUCCCAUAAAACUGACAUGCUUAAAUUUAAGGAUGUCAAUUUUGAUGUAAUAGGAUUUAAAUCAUCAUGGAAGGCUAAAAGCAAACAGUCAGAGAGUGGCUCUCAAACAGAACCAUUGAAGAUAGAGGAGAGUGAAACCCAGACAAUUGGCCACGAUGAAAAAGAGAGUCAGACGGACCCGGAGCCGGAGGUGGUGGUGCCGCCCGCCGACGCCGCCGUGCAGCCCUCGCUGGUCGCCUUCCUCGGCCGCGCCGUGCCGCUCGUGCUGCGCGAGCUGGAGCGCUCGGAGAAGUCGCGCGCCUUCGACGGCUACCAGCUGAUCGAGGAGGAUGACGACCAGCCGGUGCGGCGCCUGCUGACGCUGCGGCUGGCCGGCCGGCCGGCCGACACCGGCACCACUGGCGACCAGGUGUCGUGCCUGUCGUGGAGCUGCACCGGCUCGGUGGUGGCUGUGGGGUACGGCGCCGGCGAGCACCAGUCCUGGUGCGAACACUCGACCUCACUGGCGCUCUGGAACGUACACCGGAAAGAUCUGAACCCGAACCAGCCGUACCAGAAGCUGGAGCUGCGCUCCUGCGCGAGCUACUGCCGGUUUCACCCCAGCGAGCCGAGCGUCCUCGCCGUCGGCAUGGUCACAGGCGAGCUGCAGCUGUACAACCUGUCCCGUGAGGAGGACCCGCUGCUGGGCACCACGUCGGGCAUCAUCCAGGGCCACCGCGAGCCGGUGAGCGCGCUGCACUGGCUGGCCCGCUCGGCCGGCUACAGCCUGGUCUCGGCCUCGCGCGACGGCCGCAUGCUCGUCUGGAAGUACUCCGAGGCCAAACAGCAGCUGCAGCUGGUCAAACAGUUCCAGCUGAUGGCUGGCCAAGUGCCGCGCUCGGCCGGCCGGCGCGCCGCCAGAGCUGACUCAGAGGCUGGGCUGACGGCACUGGCCUUUAGCCACGACAACCCGGACCAGUUCACCAUCGGGUCAGAGGGCGGCGGCGUGUUCCUCUGCUCGUUCGCCUCCGAGGUGCCUAUCACCGCGAUGACCGGUGAGCGCACUGAGGGCCUUCUAAACCCGGUGACGUCGACGUUCGAGCCGCACCAGGGCCAGGUGCUGGUGCUGCAGUGCUCAAAGUUCCACAGGAACAUCUUCAUAUCGGCCGGCUCGGACAACGAAGUGCGCGUCUACAACACACUACAGAUCUCUCCGCUGCUGUCCAUCAGUCUGGAGGCGGAGGUGACGGCGGCCGCGCUCUCGCCCUCCCGGCCGCUGGUCGUGUUCGUCACCACUGGCAGCGGCGAGCAGCACCUGUUCGACUUCACCCGCCGCGGCGCGCCACUGCACACCAUGCGACUGCACGAGAAACCGCUGGUGGUCACCGCGCUGCGGCUCAACGACAAACAGCCCAGUCUGCUGGCGACCGGCGACGCCAAGGGCGCCGUGCACGUCUGGUCGCUGGCCACCGAGUACGUGUCGCCCAAGACGCACGAGCUGGCUGAGAUCAACCGGCUGGGCGGCGUUCAAACGGAUGGCUAGAGACCGCAGUCAUCUGAACGCUCCCCGCCGACCGCCGCGCCGGAUAUCUAGUCAAGCAGGAAAUCCUCGGCGGCACCCCACAUACAGCACACGGCACGCACACCAUCCCAGCCACAGCAGACGCCGCCACGAUAUAAGUGGGUUUCGUGUGAUAUAUUUGUAAUCUAGUCCGUCCACGGCUGUGCCUCGACUUCUGCUGCGGGCUCCCGAUGUGGUUACUGUGUGUUCACUGCGACAACGCAUCGACUACUGCACGCGUGAUGGUUGCGUUUAUUUGAAACGCAUGAUCUCAGCUGUACCUAUAUCGAUCUCAUUUAUUUUACUCACGUGACGUUACGACACCUGAUAAGUCAGUUCAUAUGGUGCGGCCUUUAUUGCCUCACCCUAGGACAGCGGAUUGGCCUGUUGAUUUCACGGUUAUCCAUAAUUGAAGUCAACGAAAUACACUUAUGGAUUACAUUUAAAGUUCUCUCCAUUUUGAAGUGGUACCAAAUAUUGAUUACUUAUUGAAGUUCCACAUUAGAAACCUGUUGGAAAUCCCUUUACCAUCUGACCCUUGAGAGAACACGGGAAGCCAGUCGACGUAACUACCUCAAAUGUCAGUGUGCGACUCCGUCGCCCGCGCCUGAUCAUCGUUCAAAGUUGAAAUAAAGCCCAAUUCACCUG